AUUUUUUUUUUUAGCAUAUUCCUGUUUACAAGGAUAAAAAAUACUAAUCAGUUUAGAAAAUAAAAUACAAAGUUUCCAGUUCUCAAUAUGUGAAUAUUUUAUGUACAAAUGGAUAUUGAGUGCAAUACAGCAGUAACAUACUUGCAAGUUCCACUUUCCCAGCUUUAAAAUAACAAUGCCUUAUUCCCUGUUUCAGUGAGGUGAAAGAUUCCCCAUUUAGACUCGUCAAAAACGUAAUUUCGUUAAACCGUCGUCUUGGAUUAUAUCUGGCAAUGCAUCUGUUUUUGUUUUCCAGAUUUAAACAGUUUGUGUGUGUAUGUAAUGUCUAUUUAUAAAAUGGCGUAGACUGUCAAGCAGCAUCCCAUCGCAUAUUCCCUAUGUGACCAUGCAAUAGGAUUGAGCCCCUAGUGUUUCUAACGCCAUGUUAUCAGAUCAAUAGCACACUCCAUGGAGUCCAGUCAUACUAUAGUUAGUACAUCACUUGUACCGUCUGGCUGUUCAAAUCAUUCAAAAUGAUACAUUUUCUGCUGUAAAACAUAUAAAGACACCCUGUACACAUGAUGUAAUAACUGCUCAUCAAUCACAAAAAUGAAGAGGGUGCUUGAUUACAUCUCUACGCAGAAAAAAAGAGGUUCUGGAAUUCUGUGAAUGAAACGUUCUGUGCGCGUGAUAACAUCUCUACACAGAAAUAAAGAGGUUCUGGAAUUCUGUGAAUGAAACGUUCUGUGCGCGUGAUAACAUCUCUACACAGAAAAAAAGAGGUUCUGGAAUUCUGUGAAUGAAACGUUCUGUGCGCGUGAUAACAUCUCUACACAGAAAAAAAGAGGUUCUGGAAUUCUGUGAAACGUUCUGUGCGCGUGAUAACAUCUCUACACAAAAAAAGGUUCUGGAAUUCUGUGAAUGAAACGUUCUGUGCGCGUGAUAACAUCUCUACACAGAAAUAAAGAGGUUCUGGAAUUCUGUGAAUGAAACGUUCUGUGCGCGUGAUAACAUCUCUACACAGAAAAAAAGAGGUUCUGGAAUUCUGUGAAUGAAACGUUCUGUGCGCGUGAUAACAUCUCUACACAGAAAAAAAGAGGUUCUGGAAUUCUGUGAAUGAAACGUUC